UGUACUUUAGAUUAUAUUCAAAGAGUAAUCCAGCCUGCUAAUCCAGCACGAUAUCGAGAUUAUAUUUGCUUUCAUACACAAAUAAGUUGUCACUAAAAUGUCUCUUGUUUCUUGACUGGAAGCAGUGAUGAAUUAAUUGAAUUAAAUUUUUUUAUCAUUAAUCCCGCCCUUCGUUGUUGAGAACGUGCCAGGUGGCAGGACGGUAAUUUUCAUGGAAUGACGGGACGAUUUGCGUUGGGGCCCGCUGAGAACGUUGGCGUCGGA
rnacentral:lncRNA from 1 species